rnacentral:rRNA from 1 species
CCUACGGGGGGCUGCAGUGGGGAAUAUUGGACAAUGGGGGCAACCCUGAUCCAGCCAUGCCGCGUGUGUGAAGAAGGCCCUCGGGUUGUAAAGCACUUUCAGUGAGGAAGAACGCCUGGUGGUUAAUACCCAUCAGGAAAGACAUCACUCACAGAAGAAGCACCGGCUAACUCCGUGCCAGCAGCCGCGGUAAUACGGGGGGUGCGAGCGUUAAUCGGAAUUACUGGGCGUAAAGCGCGCGUAGGUGGCUUGAUAAGCCGGUUGUGAAAGCCCCGGGCUCAACCUGGGAACGGCAUCCGGAACUGUCAAGCUAGAGUGCAGGAGAGGAAGGUAGAAUUCCCGGUGUAGCGGUGAAAUGCGUAGAGAUCGGGAGGAAUACCAGUGGCGAAGGCGGCCUUCUGGACUGACACUGACACUGAGGUGCGAAAGCGUGGGUAGCAAACAGGAUUAGAUACCCCAGUAGUC